GACGAACGCUGGCGGCGUGCUUAACACAUGCAAGCCGAACGGAAAGGCCCUGCUUUUGUGGGGUGCUCGAGUGGCGAACGGGUGAGUAACACGUGAGUAACCUGCCCUUGACUUUGGGAUAACUUCAGGAAACUGGGGCUAAUACCGGAUAGGAGCUCCUGCUGCAUGGUGGGGGUUGGAAAGUUUCGGCGGUUGGGGAUGGACUCGCGGCUUAUCAGCUUGUUGGUGGGGUAGUGGCUUACCAAGGCUUUGACGGGUAGCCGGCCUGAGAGGGUGACCGGCCACAUUGGGACUGAGAUACGGCCCAGACUCCUACGGGAGGCAGCAGUGGGGAAUAUUGCACAAUGGGCGGAAGCCUGAUGCAGCAACGCCGCGUGCGGGAUGACGGCCUUCGGGUUGUAAACCGCUUUCGCCUGUGACGAAGCGUGAGUGACGGUAACGGGUAAAGAAGCACCGGCUAACUACGUG
rnacentral:rRNA from 1 species